rnacentral:misc_RNA from 1 species
CUUUGGUCUGAUCAGUCACAACUCACAGCACACGCUAUAACACAGAACUUCAGCCUAUGCACAUUGUAAGGGGGUCAACUGCAAGGCACCACACGCACACAGCCAUGGAAGCUCCGCUCGGAGCUCGACUAACCCUUGCUCUCUCCAUUUUCGCAUUUCUCUCACUUCUUACCACGGCCUUCUCUCAACAGAUCCAAAUCCUCAACGCCGAGCGCAGAGUUGAUCUGACUUCACAUAUUGUUAAGGUUUUCUUGACUUUGAAGGUUGAGAAUACUGGAACAGCUCCUGCCACUGAAAUCCUUCUUGCUUUCCCACCUACUCAAGUUGACCAUCUAGCAGUUGUCAAAGCACAAGCUGCUACGGGAAAGCGGAAGAAGCAAACUUAUGUGCCUCUUGAUGUAAAGCCAACAGAGUUACCUGAUGCACCAAAUGGAACUAAAUAUUUUAUUAUAUCUUUGCUCAGUCCAUUAAAUUCAGGUGAAACUGCAACCCUGGAAGUGCUUUACAUUUUAACACAUUCUUUGGAACCUUUUCCAGCUGAGAUAAGCCAAUCAGAACCACAGUUGGUUUAUUACCAUGAUAGUGCUAUAAUAUUGUCACCGUACCAUAUUAAGCAGCAAACAACUUUUAUUAAGACACCAACUGCAAAAGUGGAAUCAUUCACAAGAGUGGAACCCACUAACCGUGUCAGUACAGAGCUAAAGUAUGGGCCAUAUGAAGAUCGCCCUCCAUAUUCAUUUUCUCCAAUAAUUGUUCAUUUUGAGAAUAACAAUCCGUUUGCUGUUGUUGAGGAGAUUGUACGGGAAGUGGAAAUUUCUCACUGGGGCAACCUUCAGAUAACAGAACACUACAAGUUGGUUCAUGCUGGUGCUCGACACAAAGGCGUGUUUUCAAGGGUUGAUUAUCAAUCUAGGCCAUCUUUUAGUGGCGUAUCUUCAUUCAAACACCUCCUGGCAAGAUUACCACCUAGGGUGCAUUCUGUCUAUUAUCGAGAUGAAAUAGGGAACAUUUCAUCAUCUCAUUUACGUACAGAUAAUCGAAAGUCAGAACUUGAAAUUGAACCGCGAUAUCCUUUAUUUGGAGGUUGGAAAGCUACUUUUGUCAUUGGGUAUGGGCUACCAUUGCAAGAUUUCCUUUUUGAGUCUUCAGAUGGCAAGCGUUACCUCAACUUCAGCUUUGGCUGUCCUCUUGCAGAGACCAGUGUGGACAAGUUGACCAUCAAAGUUGUUCUGCCAGAGGGAUCCAAAGACCCUUCAGCUGUGGUUCCCUUUUCAGUAGAGCAACGCUUGGAGACCAAAUAUUCAUACCUUGACGUUGUUGGGAGGACUGUGCUGGUUCUGGAAAAGAAAAAUUUAGUUCCUGAGCAUAACUCUCCUUUCCAGGUUUAUUACACUUUCAACCAAAUCUUCAUGCUAGCAGAACCAUUGAUGUUGGUAUCUGCAUUUUUCUUCUUUUUUGUGGCUUGUGUAGCUUACUUACACAUUGAUCUUUCCAUACGCAAGUGACAAACCCUAAACUGCCCCACCUUAAAAGCAUUUUGCCAAGGAAUGAUUUUGUGAUUUAUUAGCAAUGGAUUAGAUCUGUAACCUGGAGCUCAGAAUGGUGUAAUUUUAACUUGUUUUACUCCAGAGACUGAGAAAGGUCAGAACCUCGGAUGACCAUUUUUCAUAUAGUUAUAAAAUUUUGAGAUGUUCUCUAGUGAAAAUAGUUUGCACUUAGAAAUUUUGCUGUUUAUUUGCUAGAUUGGAUUUUGUGUCCAUUCAUAGGGGGAGCAUUGAACUAUUCUAUCAUACAUGAAAUGUAAGAAUCCGAAAGGUAUUUUGGCCGAAACUGCAUGCUUCAUUUUUCAUUUUGGAAAACUUCAGCACACAGAGAGAAGGUACUUUUUCAAAA